GAUGAAGAACGCAGCUAAAUGCGAUAAGUAAUGUGAAUUGCAGAAUUCAGUGAAUCAUCGAAUCUUUGAACGCACAUUGCGCCCCCUGGUAUUCCGGGGGGCAUGCCUGUUCGAGCGUCAUUUCACCACUCAAGCCUCGCUUGGUAUUGGGCAACGCGGUCCGCCGCGUGCCUCAAAUCGACCGGCUGGGUCUUCUGUCCCCUAAGCGUUGUGGAAACUUUCGCUAAAGGGUGUUCGGGAGGCUACGCCGUAAAACAACCCCAUUUCUAAGGUUGACCUCGGAUCAGGUAGGGAUACCCGCUGAACUUAAGCAUAUCAAUAAGCGGAGGA
rnacentral:misc_RNA from 1 species